CGCUGCGGGUAGCGAGCCGAAAGAUUUCAUUAGAUGGUAGCAGAGUGGCAGCCGACUGCGGUGUCCAAUUUUGUGCAGCAUAGUGGCAGCCUGUGCAAGCAUACCAGCACGCUCGCCCGGCGCCGCUAGCACUGCGGCCGAUAAUAGAGGGGCGGUUGGAGCGCGGUCGCAGGCUGCCGUCGAGCAACUGCUGCGUGCGGCGAGGCGCCGCGCCAGCCAUCAUGCGACACACCGCCGACUGCAGGAAUACACGCGACGUCAUCCACUGCACAAGAUAAUAAUAAUAAUUUCUUUAAUCGACAAUAAUAGCAUGGACAAAAGAAUAAAGAUCAUUGUUAUUACUGUUAA